AAAGCGCGCGUAGGUGGUUUGUUAAGUUGGAUGUGAAAUCCCCGGGCUCAACCUGGGAACUGCAUUUGUGACUGCAUGGCUAGAGUACGGUAGAGGGGGAUGGAAUUCCGCGUGUAGCAGUGAAAUGCGUAGAUAUGCGGAGGAACACCGAUGGCGAAGGCAAUCCCCUGGACCUGUACUGACGCUCAUGCACGAAAGCGUGGGGAGCAAACAGGAUUAGAUACCCCUGU
rnacentral:rRNA from 1 species